AUUGAACGCUGGCGGCAUGCUUUACACAUGCAAGUCGAACGGUAACAGGCCUUCGGGUGCUGACGAGUGGCGAACGGGUGAGUAAUGCAUCGGAACGUACCCAGAGGUGGGGGAUAACGCAGCGAAAGCUGUGCUAAUACCGCAUGUGAUCUGAGGAUGAAAGCGGGGGACCGAGCAGCAAUGUUUGGCCUCGCGCCUUUGGAGCGGCCGAUGUCGGAUUAGCUAGUUGGUGGGGUAAAGGCCUACCAAGGCGACGAUCCGUAGCUGGUCUGAGAGGACGACCGGCCACACUGGGACUGAGACACGGCCCAGGCUCCUACGGGAGGCAGCAGUGGGGAAUUUUGGACAGUGGGCGCAAGCCUGGUCCAGCGAUGCCGCGUGCGGGGAAAAGGCCUUCGGGUUGUAAAGCGCUUUUGGCAGGAACGAAACGGUGUCCGCUAAUACCGGGCGCUAGUGACGGUACCUGCAGAAUAAGCACCGGCUAACUACGUG
rnacentral:rRNA from 1 species